rnacentral:rRNA from 1 species
GACGUAGGGUGCAAGCGUUGUCCGGAAUUAUUGGGCGUAAAGAGUUCGUAGGCGGUUACCUAAGUCUGGUGUUAAAGCCCAGCGCUCAACGUUGGCAUGGCAUUGGAAACUGGGUGGCUAGAGUGUGUCAGAGGUCACGGGAAUUCCUGGUGUAGCGGUGAAAUGCGUAGAUAUCAGGAGGAACACCGGUGGCGAAAGCGCGUGACUGGGGCAUAACUGACGCUGAGGAACGAAAGCCAGGGUAGCAAAAGGGAUUAGAUACCCCUGUAGUCCUGGCCGUAAACGAUGGAUACUAGGUGUUGGAGGAUUCGACCCCUUCAGUGCCGUAGCUAACGCGAUAAGUAUCCCGCCUGGGGAGUACGACCGCAAGGUUGAA